rnacentral:rRNA from 1 species
UACGUAGGGUGCGAGCGUUAAUCGGAAUUACUGGGCGUAAAGCGUGCGCAGGCGGUUCUGAAAGUCAGCUGUGAAAGCCCCGGGCUUAACCUGGGAAUGGCGGUUGAAACUACAGGACUAGAAUCUGGCAGAGGGGGGUGGAAUUCCACGUGUAGCAGUGAAAUGCGUAGAGAUGUGGAGGAACACCGAUGGCGAAGGCAGCCUCCUGGGCCAAUACUGACGCUCAUGCACGAAAGCGUGGGGAGCAAACAGG